CGUGAGUGAUGAAGGGUUUCGGAUCGUAAAACUCUGUUGUUAGGGAAGAACAAGUGCCAUAGUAACUAUGGCACCUUGACGGUACCUAACCAGAAAGCCACGGCUAACUACGUGCCAGCAGCCGCGGUAAUACGUAGGUGGCAAGCGUUGCCCGGAAUUAUUUGGGCGUAAAGCGCUCGCAGGCGGUUCUUUAAGUCUGAUGUGAAAUCUUACGGCUCAACCGUAAACGUGCAUUGGAAACUGGGGAACUUGAGUGCAGAAGAGGAGAGUGGAAUUCCACGUGUAGCGGUGAAAUGCGUACAGAUGUGGAGGAACACCAGUGGCGAAUGCGACUCUCUGGUCUGUAACUGACGCUGAGGAGCGAAAGCGUGGGGAGCGAACAGGAUUAGAUACCCUGGUAGUCCACGCCGUAAACGAUGAGUGCUACGUGUCAGGGGGUUUCCGCCCCUUAGUUGCUGAAGUUAACGCCUUAAGCACUCCGCCUGGGGAGUACGU
rnacentral:rRNA from 1 species